UAGUCCACGCCGUAAACGAUGUCAACUAGCCGUCGGAUCCGUCUGGGAUUUGGUGGCGCAGCUAACGCGAUAAGUUGACCGCCUGGGGAGUACGGCCGCAAGGUUAAAACUCAAAUGAAUUGACGGGGGCCCGCACAAGCGGUGGAGCAUGUGGUUUAAUUCGAUGCAACGCGAAGAACCUUACCAGGCCUUGACAUCCUGUGAACUUUCUAGAGAUAGAUUGGUGCCUUCGGGAACACAGUGACAGGUGCUGCAUGGCCGUCGUCAGCUCGUGUCGUGAGAUGUUGGGUUAAGUCCCGUAACGAGCGCAACCCUUGUCCUUAGUUGCUAACAGUUCGGCUGAGAACUCUAGGGAGACUGCCGGUGACAAACCGGAGGAAGGUGGGGACGACGUCAAGUCAUCAUGGCCCUUAUGGCCUGGGCUACACACGUGCUACAAUGGCGCAUACAGAGGGUUGCCAACUAGCAAUAGUGCGCUAAUCCCUUAAAGUGCGUCGUAGUCCGGAUUGG
rnacentral:rRNA from 1 species